GACAUACCUCUGGUGUACCAGUUGUCGUGCCAACGGCAUAGCUGGGUAGCUAUGUGUGGACGGGAUAAGUGCUGAAAGCAUCUAAGCAUGAAGCCCCCCUCAAGAUGAGAUUUCCCAACUACGGUUAUAAGAUCCCUCAAAGAUGAUGAGGUUAAUAGGUUCGAGGAGGAAGCAUGGUGACAUGUGGAGCUGACGAAUACUAAUCGAUCGAAGACUUAAUCAAAA
rnacentral:rRNA from 1 species